CCCGACUGCUAUUUGGGUGAGGAUAAGCCAUGCGAGUUGAAUGGGAUACCUAAAGUUCCCAUAGCAAACUGCUCAGUAACACAUGAUCAACUACCCUAUAGAGAAAAAUAACCUCGGGAAACUGAGGAUAAUGUUUCAUAACUGAAUUGGCUUGGAAAAGUUUUUCAGUGAAAGGGAUAAAAUAAAUGGUUUUUAUCUGCUAUAGGAUAGGAUCGUGUUCGAUUAUGGUUGUUGGUGAGGUAAUGGCUCACCAAGCCGAUAAUCGACAGGGGCCGUGAGAGCGGGAGCCCCGAGAUGGGUACUGAGACAACGACCCAGGCCUUACGAGGCGCAGCAGGCGCGAAACCUCCGCAAUACACGAAAGUGUGACGGGGUUACCCAAAGUGUUCAAUUUUGAACUGUGGUAGGUGAGUAAUGUUCCCUACUAGAAAGGAGAGGGCAAGGCUGGUGCCAGCCGCCGCGGUAAAACCAGCUCUUCAAGUGGUCGGGAUAAUAUUGGGCUUAAAGUGUCCGUAGCCGGUUUAGUAAGUUCCUGGUAAGAUCGGGUAGCUUAACUAUCUAUAUGCUAGGAAUACUGCUAUACUAGAGGGCGGGAGAGGUCUGAGGUACUACAGGGGUAGGGGUGAAAUCUUAUAAUCCUUGUAGGACCACCAGUGGCGAAGGCGUCAGACUGGAACGCGCCUGACGGUGAGGGACGAAAGCCAGGGGAGCGAACCGGAUUAGAUACCCGGGUAGUCCUGGCCGUAAACGAUGCAUACUGGGUGAUGGCACGGCCAUGAGCCGUGUCAGCGCCGUAGGGAAACCGUUAAGUGUGCCGCCUGGGAAGUACGGUCGCAAGGCUAAAACUUAAAGGAAUUGGCGGGGGAGCACCACAAGGGGUGAAGCCUGCGGUUCA
rnacentral:rRNA from 1 species